CCUACGGGUGGCAGCAGUGGGGAAUUUUGGACAAUGGGCGCAAGCCUGAUCCAGCUAUUCCGCGUGUGGGAAGACGGCCUUAGGGGUUUAAACCACUUUUGUAGAGAACGCAACGUCUAUUGAUAAUACCGAUCGAUGAUGACGGUACUCUAAGAAUAAGCACAGUCUAACGACGGGCCAGCAGCCGCGGUAAUACGUAGGGUGCGAGCGUUAAUCGGAAUUACUGAGCGGAAAGGGGGAGUAGGUGGUAUUGCAAGUUGGAUGUGAAGGACCCGGGCUUAACCUGGGAAAGCCAUACAUGACUGCAAGACUAGAGUGCGUCAGAGGGAGGUGGAAUUCCAAGUGUAGCAGUGAAAUGCGUAGAUAUUUGGAAGAACACCGAUGGCGAAGGCAGCCCCCUGGGACACAACUGACGCUCAUACACGAAAGCGUGGGGAGCAAACAGGAUUAGAUACCCCUGUAGUC
rnacentral:rRNA from 1 species